GACGAACGCUGGCGGCGUGCCUAAUACAUGCAAGUCGAACGCAGUGGGGACGGGUGAGUAACACGUGGGUAACCUCCCAUCAGAGGGGAUAACACUUGGAAACAGGUGCUAAACCGAUACUGAUGGAUGGACCCGCGGUGCAUUAGCUAGUUGGGGGGGUAACGGCUCACCAAGGCCAAGAUGCAUAGCCGGCCUGGGAAGGUGGUCGGGCACACUGGGACUGGAACACGGCCCAAGCUCCUACUGGGGGCAGCAGUAGGGGAUCUUCGGCAAUGGACGGAAGGCUGGCCGAGCAACGCCGCGUGAGUGGAGAAGGUUUUCGGAUCGUAAAGCUCUGUUGUUAGGGGAGCGGUAACUAACCAGAAAGGGACGGCUAACUACGUGCCAGCAGCCGCGGUAAUUC
rnacentral:rRNA from 1 species